UUAUUACCUUUAACUUUAAUUGAUUUUCUAGAGUUGCGACUGUUCUUCUUACACCCUGUUCCACGCUUGUCUGGAUCUACCCGUUGAUCUCGCUCCUGUCACCUCAAAUCAUUUGAUGAAGAGAGUAAUGCGGAAGUACCAGGGAGGGAGCGGAGACGAGAGAGUCGCGGUCGUGAGCGUCGGAGGUUAAAGAGCAGCGAUCGACGCUGACGGAGGCGGAGGAAAAGAGGCUGAGAUUUGAUUCCGGUGUGAAGUUCAAAGAGUCCGGGCUGGAGUCUCGCCGAGAUCCUCCGGACGCCGUCGAUCUUGCCGGCCGCUUUGUCUCAGACGGCAUUUGAAUCUGAUGAGUUAACUGAGCUCUAGCUAUGUAGAGAGAGAGAGAGAGAGGAGAGAGAAGAGAGGAAUGCUCGUGGGAAUCUGGUUUCGUGACUCGUAUGGAACAAAGGGAAAAAAUAUGAUAAUGAUGUGUCUUUGACUUGAGAGAAAGACUGUCGAGAAAGAGAGGAAAAAUACGGACCUUUUACACUAUUCUUUUUACUCAUUUUUUAUCUGUCUUUUGGAGCGUGGUAGAUUCGAUUUUAAUCAACUGUAACUGUUGUGCGCUUUUUCUUCCUAUGAUUUUUGAACAUACUCUCUAGUCUUAAACAUACUCUCUAGUCUCUACAUGUCCGGUACUUUAUUGGGUUCAAAUGACUUAACCCUUUUUACACUACUUUUAUUUUUUUAUUUUUACCUCACCCAAUUUCAUCCCCUCUUUCGUUUUUUACAAACCCUAGAUGUUGUUGAAUUCUCUCCCCCCGCCGCAGUUAUAGAUUCACGGCGUUUCCGUCGCCGAGAUUCUCCUAAAUCUCUGAUGCUUCAACACAAUUUCAUCCGUUAUUUAUCUCAAAUCUCUAAUUCCUCAACACAAUCUCCGAACCCUACAUAUCGUUGAUUUUUCUAAACGCGACGCAGUUCUAGAAUCACGCCGUGUUGUUCGUCGCGAUACUCUACAAUCACUUUCAUCCUCCAAGAGAGUCACCGCCUCAACGUUAACCUCUUCUCCGCCCCUCAAUGACUAGUAUGUCUUUCCUUCUCUGAUAUCUCGAUUCUUUUUUCCAGAACCUUAUUUCUAACUAGUUCUGUUUACCUCUUCAUCCAGACAAUGGUGUGUGUUCCCGGCCAGAUCGUCGUCCUUCGCGGUUCCGAUGAGUUUGAGGUCAUAAGGAACUCUUGCUUUGGUCGUCUCUUUGAUAUCCCUGCUCGCCAGUCCCCUGUCUUGCACAAGCUUCUCCACAGCCUUCUGUGAAGACAGAUUUUGCCUCUUCAGAAGUAUACACUGUGGCCAGUUGUUGGUGGAUCUCCCUUCCGGUUCUCUCUUGCUGAAUUUCACACUGUCACAGGUCUCCCUUGUGGUCCUUUCCCUGAUAGCUACGAGACACCUUCUUUCAACAUCAGGAACCCUGCUAAGGACCCUCUAUGGCAGAAACUACUUGGCCAUGAUUCACACAAAACUAUAGCUGACAUUGGGCACAUGCUUGAGACUGACCAUACCAUUCCCUCAUACAAGAGGCUUUGACUCGCCCUCAUCAUGAUUGUCGACGGAGUGUUCAUCGCUCACAAACAAGUUGCCAAACCUACUCUACACUAUGUUCGUAUGGUCGACAACCUUGAAGACUAUCUAAAUUUUCUAUGGGUCGUGAGUCUUUUCUCAAAACUAUUACCUGCAUGAAACCGCCCACUGAUGCUGCAAGUUGUUAACUUUCUAAACUUUCCUUGGGGCCGUGAGUCUUUUCUCAAAUACUCGUACAUGUCUUGCCCACAAGUUAUUGCACCUGUGAAACAGAGGGUAGACAACAUUUGAGAACAACUGCAUACAUUGAAAAACCAAAGAGGGAUCCAUCUGAAUCUAGGUCUCAAAAAAACCUUACCCACAGAUUUGGUAGCCGGAGUUUGUGUUGCCUUCAGAGAAGAAAAAAGAUAAGAACAAGCAAUUAAUAAACCUACGUUACCACUUCAAGCAUCGUUGUACUGCUUUUAACGAGAGCCAUCUGAUUGCUUCCAAAAAUAGAUACAUCUAACGACUCACAAUAAUCCCACUGUUUGAUGUACCUACCAAUUUCUCACCAAUUUAUUGCAACCAUCCCAUCUAACGAGAAUCUCAAAGGUAGAUGCUUGGUCACUUUUGACUUAACCACAGUUAGAAAUCUUGUCCACCAGAAAGGCUUUUUGGAGAGAGAAAUAGUUAAAGUAAGGGAAUAUGUACACCUCAAACACAAGGUAUGUGAACAUGCAAGAAACAAUAGAAAAGUAACCUGAGACGUAAACAGCUCAUGAUUUUUUUUCAUAAAAAUUAGAGUCAUGUAGCUAGAUAUACCCAAACAUGUUCAAUUUUAAAAAAAUAUACAUGAUUGGAUACAAGGAUAAAUUACUGUAACUUUUUGGUCUUAUCUUUUCCAAAUUACCCCUACUAUUGUCUCUUUCUCUCCUUUUGUAUUUUUAUCACCGAUCUCUUUCUCUCUUUUCUACUUCUUUUUUUUAUCAUGUCUUCAUCUGAUUGUUUCCAGCAAACCUUUUAUACAAUUCUCUCCAAAAUUAAAUCAGAUUGAUAGUGACUCAGAUUUUCACAGUAUCCCUCCAGUGAUUAUCACUUUUAUUUUCUCUGAUGGUCUCCGGUAACUAUGUUUCUGCCCCCAAUCCUCUAUCGAACUCUUCCUCUUCAACUCGUCUUCGCCGCCGCUGCAACAAUUUCUUCGACACUGAAUGUGCCAUGCAUAGCUGGGAAUUCAUGGUCUCCAAUAAAGUCAUUUUUCUGAUUGGAUCUUCCUUUUAAUCUUGUUUCAACCCUGUUAUAACAGAAGAUAAUGGUUUAUUAAUAUACUAAAAAGAUAACUCAAGUGUUAACGGUUAAUAAUCAUAUUAUAUGAAUAUAAAAUAAAUAAUGAUUCUCUAAAAAAUAAUGUAACUUAAGUGUUAUUGGUUAAUAAGCAUGUUACACUUAGAAGAUAACUCAAAUGUUAUGUUAAAAAUAAUCAUGUAUCGACUAAUAAUAAAUUACCGACUAACAAGCUACGUACAUCUAGUUUCUAAUAUCUUGUAACAUCAACACAACCAUGUAUUGAUUCACUACAAACAUUUGUGCCAUGUUAUAAUUAUAUGUAGAGUGUUAAUAAAACCAAUAAUAUACACAUCUAUAAAAUACUCAUUCUUUGGUGGCAAGUAACAUAUCGCCUAAUAAGUUAUUUGUCAUGUAACAAAUAACAUAUCAGCUAACGAAACAAUGUACCAAAUAAUAACUUAAUUAACAACCAUGUAUUGAACAAUAUAUCAGCUUAUAAAUAGUGUAUCAGCUAACGACAAUUAUUUACAGUGUGGUUCAGGCUUCAUCUCAUAUUUUUCGUCAUAUUGAGGAUACAGGAUGAAUCCUCUAACAAUUCGUAAUCGAAUUUGUAGCAGUUAACAAAACCAGAUAUCAACCAAGGCAACUAUUUGUCACAUAUUUUUUAGAAGUUAACAAAAUUUGUAUCAUCAAACGACAAUUAUAUCAUCACAUCUUGCCAACUAUCAUUUGUGGCAACCUAUUUUGUAACAUCUAACCAAAAAUAUAUUCCAUGCAGCUAUUCCCGACCAUAAACACCAAAAUGGAGGAUCUGAAACUCCCUGGUCAUGACUCACAAUCUCGUCCGAGACAGUUAUUCACUAUAACAUGUCAGAUUAAGACUUCAACGCGGAAUUGCUAGUGAAAGUGGUAAGAUGAGUGAUUAGAUCUGGAGUCAUGCCAUUCUCACAGAAAUCACCGCCUUCGAUGGGAUUGUAUCCCAAAUUGAGGAGCUCAACAUAGCAUUGGCGUUGAAGUCGUAGAAUCCAUACAAUGAUUUUUAGAGAUCAAUGGAGAAGAUGAUGAAACUCAUGGUGAUAAGGAAGGACUAGCAACACUUAAAAUGAUGCUUUUGUGGUAUAUGAGAAUGAAUGGGAAGAAGAAUCACAUCAAAAUUGGUAGGUGAAUAGAACUUUGAACAAAAAUCAGAAUUAAAAAAAAAGGAUGAAUUUGGUAUAACACAGAGAAAAGAGGAAAGAGGACUUUGAGAAGAAAGAGAUCUACGGGAAGAAAGAGAAACAAGAGAGUAAAGAGGAAAGAGGGCUUUGAGAAGAAAGAGAUCCACAGGAAGAAAGUAGGGGCAUUUCUGUAAUAUUUUAAAAAUAAUAAUAAUAAUAGGGUAGAAGCUUUAUUACGGAUGGUUAUGGGUGUAUUGGCGCUAAUUACUCUAAAAAUUAUAAUAGAUGGUAAAAGAAUUUUUUUUGUCAGGCCCGUCUUAAAGAAAUUAUGGACCCUGAGCUUCCAAAAGUAUAGUUAUAUUUCUGUAAAUUUAUGAAUUAGGAUCCUAAUCUAUAUGUUGUAAAAAAUUAGGACUCUAAUUUUUUAAGAUUUUUUUUCAAAAAGAAGAUCUUGUGCAUUUGCAAGUUGGGGCACUCCCCAAAAAUAGGUAUCGUUUUUUUUUUAAAUACUAAAGAAUCACAAAUUAAAAAAAUCAUUUAAUUAUUAGAAAAAUUCCACAAAAAUCUUCCAAACACUUCCACUUUAAACCUCUAAAUUUUAUAUUU